rnacentral:lncRNA from 1 species
UUGCUCCAGUCCCCGCCCCAUCCUAGGCUCAGGAUGCUCUCCCACCCUACUAACCACCGGUCCGGUCAAAGCCCAAGCUGCUGCCAGCCGCCAUGUUAUCUCCUAGCCUGGCUAGGGUGCCUGCUAGCCAGCAGUGGCUAUGGUGGUGUGCAGAGUGAGGACCAAAUGGGUCACCGGCUACUGAAAAAGAAUCCAGACCUCUGAAAGGGUUCGUGACAAAUUUUUUAGAAGUUCUCACGCUCAUCUGUUACGAUGAUUUUCUUUUCUUUUUUCUCUUUUAAAAAAGUUGGCUAAUUUGUGUUUCUAUAUUCCUCUUUAAUUUUAUUUUUAUUGGGGGUACAAAUGUUUUUAAAGGAGGGAUUUCGUUAGACCCGAAACUGUGGGGUGGCUUCCUCUCUAGCCAACUUACUAUCUCUACGCCUGUGAUUCCCAUCUCCCCCAAGAAAACAAACCAAUUAAAUGACCAGAAAACUGUACCUGGAGAAAAUGAGGUAUAUGUUGCAGGAUCCGGGACCGCGGUCUUUGCUUGCUUCGUGAAAAAUCGGCUGGUCUCCAAACUCGCGAAGGAAAAUUCAAGGCGCCUCAACUCCUCCUUUUAAAUUUUUUAAU